rnacentral:rRNA from 1 species
UACGGGGGGAGCAAGCGUUGUUCGGAUUUACUGGGCGUAAAGGGCGCGUAGGCGGCGUAACAAGUCACUUGUGAAAUCUCCGGGCUUAACCCGGAGCGGCCAAGUGAUACUGUUGUGCUAGAGUGCGGAAGGGGCUACUGGAAUUCUCGGUGUAGCGGUGAAAUGCGUAGAUAUCAGGAAGAACACCCGUGGCGAAGGCGGCUCUCUGGGACGGUACUGACGCUGAGACGCGAAAGCGUGGGGAGCGAACAGG